AUUUAUUGUGGUUAAGGUAUGAAUAGAUAUAGUUCAAAUACACUGCAGCACAGUGGGUGGUGGCCAUGCAUCGUUAACAUCGCCUGCUAACCGCUAACUAAACACCAUAGAAGAAGAAUCUGUUUGCGGUCGCUCUCCCAAACAAAUGAUUUCCAGAAGUUGGCACGCGACAUUCUGACUAAUGCCUAGCUAACUGAAUUCAGUUGGUUGCCAGUGCUGUGCUUGUGGGUUAGUUAGCUAGCUAGCUAAUGUAUUAUAUUUCACCAAGCGCAUAUUAAUCAAAUUAAGAAAUAUAAUUAGAAAUAUAUUUAGUACAGAAACUAAGUGAACCCCCAUCCAAUCUUAUUUGGAUCCUGACUUCAGUCAAGUUUGGCGCCUGUGAACAUGGCAAAGCAGAAGGAGAUGUUUAAUGAGGGUGACGACUACAAGUCCAUCCAUGUUGAGAUGUACCUCCAGGUCUGUGUUGGGAUUAUAUUAUUCUGUGUUGUACCUGUGAGAGCUGAUCUUCAAGACCUUUGAGAGCAAUGACAUCAAAAACACAGCCUUUGUUAUGUCACCUGUAUGGUGACACCUUCCAGGAGAUGUGCAACUUUUAAACACAAACAUGGAAAUGUCAUGAUAUGAUAGAAUUCUUGAGCUUUAACCAGAAUUGAGAAAAUUAUACUGUAUGAAUUGGCUUUAUAUAAUUAAUAAUGAUAUAAUAUACAGUAAUUUUCCCAACCAGUUGUUUUGUCUAAGUGAAUCAUAUCAGUUGGUGUCAUUAUGGUUUCUGUGGUUUUUUUAAUGCACUUUUAAACAAUCAUAUUCACAACUAAUGUUCAUGCACAACCAAUUCACAAUCACAUUCACAAGUAAUAUAA